rnacentral:rRNA from 1 species
AACGCGAAGAACCUUACCAGGUCUUGACAUCCUCUGAAAACCCUAGAGAUAGGGCUUCUCCUUCGGGAGCAGAGUGACAGGUGGUGCAUGGUUGUCGUCAGCUCGUGUCGUGAGAUGUUGGGUUAAGUCCCGCAACGAGCGCAACCCUUGAUCUUAGUUGCCAUCAUUAAGUUGGGCACUCUAAGGUGACUGCCGGUGACAAACCGGAGGAAGGUGGGGAUGACGUCAAAUCAUCAUGCCCCUUAUGACCUGGGCUACACACGUGCUACAAUGGACGGUACAAAGAGCAGCGACCUCGCGAGAGCAAGCGGACCUCAUAAAGUGCGUCGUAGUCCGGAUUGGAGUCUGCAACUCGACUUCAUGAAGUCGGAAUCGCUAGUAAUCGUGGAUCAGAAUGCCACGGUGAAUACGUUCCCGGGCCUUGUACACACCG